AGGAGUGAUCCCUGAGCACUGCCAGGCAUAACCUCCAAAAGCAAAAUGAUAAAACUCUUUUGGGAGGCCAGUGAUAGUACAAAAGGUAGGGCUCUUGCCUUGCAUACAGCCAACUGAGGUUCAAUCCUGGUGCUCCGUCUGGUGCCUUGAGCACUGCCAGGAGUGAUCCCUGAGUGCAGAGCCAAGAGUAAGCCCUAGAGCAGUACUGAUAUGUGUGUCCCUCCACCCCAAGAAAAGGGGAGGAAGAAAAAACUUUGUCUUUUUUUUUAUAGGGGCAUGACUCUAGUGUGCCUUAAGUGUGAUUUCCUAGCUCAUUCUUCUAGUUUGGAUCUCAUGGCUAAACACUUAAGUCAGCGUAAAACUCAUACUUGCCAAGUUGUUGAGGAGAAAGUUUCAGUUCCUGGCAGUAUUUCAAUAUCUGAAACCAAUUAUGAAUGCUUUUGAAAUAAGAUUCCUGCUCUAUGGAGCUCGUGCAACCUGGUGCAAGACAAGUUGGAAUUAGUUCAAAGUCCUGAAGUGUUUUCUUACUCAAAUACAGUUUCCUAAGUUCAGAGUUCCUAAGUUCAAAGUUCUGAAGAGUUUUCUCACAGGAAAGCAGUUAAAACAGCCGAGUUCAUGACUCUAGCUUUCAUUAUUUAGCUCUUUGUAGGUCUCAGAUGGCACUAGAUUCUUAUUCCACCUUAUCUUUCUGUCAGGUUAACGUAUCUUAGUAUAUGAAGUUGAUGUCAGAAAAAACUUUUCCUUGCUAUGGCCUUUUCUUGCUUUGCUAAAAUGUGGUUUUCACUGCUGACUUGCCUUCAGAAUAUCGCAAUCCAAAAAUAUGGCUGUUUAUCUUUUUUCUCUGUGUGUUUUUAUAUUGUUCGUGUUUAGACCAGGUGGUUGGUUGUCUUUCCCUUAUUCCUUGUCUGCCAUUGUUCUCAGAAGCAACGCAGAAUUUUUAAAAUAUGAUCAGGGACUUCCUGGUCAGUGUCCCCCUUCUACGGACACAGCUAAUGCCUGUUUUCUCUUUCCAAGGAAUGUGAAUUAUUUGACUGUGAGACUUCCUCUAGGUUGUGGCCUUAAGAAAUCAUAUUGGGGAGAGUCUCUUCUUCAUGACUGGCCUCCCAUAAGGCUGAUGCUAAUUUGGCCAUAGAUCACUCCCAAGGCCCACCAAAUUGAGCACAACUUCGUCCUGGGUGGCUUUGCUUAUUGAUCUUAAUGGAUUUAUGGGUAGAUACUGACUGAGAAAAGUUCAACAUUCAUGUUCAAGUUUGAUCUGUUUUGACUGCUGCUUUUUAAUCUUCUAGCAUGCAUGCAGUCCAACUGGUUGUGUAGGGAACCAAGUUUACUUUUGUAUUCUUGGAAAACAAGUUUUUUAAAUUAUAGUUCCAAAGCUACAGUUGUUUGUACUGUUGUUUAAAGUUUUAUCCAGUAUUAACUUUAGGAGUUUUCAACUAUACUAAUAGUCAUUUUUUUUAAGUUCGGUAUCUUGUUUUUUAUGUUGCUCUUCGUCAAACUAUUGAUGUCUGUUUUAUGUCCACUUUUAUUUCUUCUCUUUAAAACUCUAAAAAAUUAUUGAAAUUCUAUACAAAUUCCAUGUACUGAUAGCUCUUCUUAAUGUUCAUAACAUUAGAUAUUAUUACAUCCUCUAUUAAAAUUAUCAACAUUACCUUAGUAAUUGAGUUCUAAAAACAAAGAUUUGGCAUAACCUUCCUACACACCUUAAAAAAGUUUUAAAGUCAACAUUUCUGUACAUCUAAUACAUAAUAUCUCUUAGCCAUUAAUGUAAUUCCCUUGGAUAAAGAUAAUAUAUUCAGAAAAUAUUGGGACCAAAAAAAAUGCACUUGUUUCUUGCCCAUAUAUAUAUAGAUGUAUAUUUUUUUUAAUUUGGUGUUUGUUUAUUUUGGUUACAUUGAAUAUAGAUUUGCUGAACAGUUUUGAUGUUAUUUUUUUAAUAAAAAAUGUUUAA